GAUGAACGCUGGCGGCGUGCCUAAUACAUGCAAGUCGAGCGAACGGACGAGAAGCUUGCUUCUCUGAUGUUAGCGGCGGACGGGUGAGUAACACGUGGAUAACCUGCCUAUAAGACUGGGAUAACUUCGGGAAACCGGAGCUAAUACCGGAUAAUAUUUUGAACCGCAUGGUUCAAAAGUGAAAGACGGUCUUGCUGUCACUUAUAGAUGGAUCCGCGCUGCAUUAGCUAGUUGGUAAGGUAACGGCUUACCAAGGCAACGAUGCAUAGCCGACCUGAGAGGGUGAUCGGCCACACUGGAACUGAGACACGGUCCAGACUCCUACGGGAGGCAGCAGUAGGGAAUCUUCCGCAAAGGGCGAAAGCCUGACGGAGCAACGCCGCGUGAGUGAUGAAGGUCUUCGGAUCGUAAAACUCUGUUAUUAGGGAAGAACAUAUGUGUAAGUAACUGUGCACAUCUUGACGGUACCUAAUCAGAAAGCCACGGCUAACUACGUG
rnacentral:rRNA from 1 species